UACGAGGGGGGCGAGCGUUGUUCGGAAUUAUUGGGCGUAAAGGGCGCGUAGGCGGUCGGAUAAGUCUUGUGUGAAAUCUUCGGGCUCAACUCGAAGUCUGCACAGGAAACUAUCUGGCUUGAGUGUGGGAGAGGUGAGUGGAAUUCCUGGUGUAGCGGUGAAAUGCGCAGAUAUCGGGAAGAACACCCGUGGCGAAGGCGGCUCUCUGGGACGGUACUGACGCUGAGACGCGAAAGCGUGGGGAGCGAACAGG
rnacentral:rRNA from 1 species